rnacentral:rRNA from 1 species
AGAGUUUGAUCCUGGCUCAGAUUGAACGCUGGCGGCAGGCCUAACACAUGCAAGUCGAGCGGUAGAGAGAAGCUUGCUUCUCUUGAGAGCGGCGGACGGGUGAGUAAUGCCUAGGAAUCUGCCUGGUAGUGGGGGAUAACGUUCGGAAACGGACGCUAAUACCGCAUACGUCCUACGGGAGAAAGCAGGGGACCUUCGGGCCUUGCGCUAUCAGAUGAGCCUAGGUCGGAUUAGCUAGUUGGUGAGGUAAUGGCUCACCAAGGCGACGAUCCGUAACUGGUCUGAGAGGAUGAUCAGUCACACUGGAACUGAGACACGGUCCAGACUCCUACGGGAGGCAGCAGUGGGGAAUAUUGGACAAUGGGCGAAAGCCUGAUCCAGCCAUGCCGCGUGUGUGAAGAAGGUCUUCGGAUUGUAAAGCACUUUAAGUUGGGAGGAAGGGCAGUUACCUAAUACGUGAUUGUUUUGACGUUACCGACAGAAUAAGCACCGGCUAACUCUGUGCCAGCAGCCGCGGUAAUACAGAGGGUGCAAGCGUUAAUCGGAAUUACUGGGCGUAAAGCGCGCGUAGGUGGUUAGUUAAGUUGGAUGUGAAAUCCCCGGGCUCAACCUGGGAACUGCAUUCAAAACUGACUGACUAGAGUAUGGUAGAGGGUGGUGGAAUUUCCUGUGUAGCGGUGAAAUGCGUAGAUAUAGGAAGGAACACCAGUGGCGAAGGCGACCACCUGGACUGAUACUGACACUGAGGUGCGAAAGCGUGGGGAGCAAACAGGAUUAGAUACCCUGGUAGUCCACGCCGUAAACGAUGUCAACUAGCCGUUGGGAGCCUUGAGCUCUUAGUGGCGCAGCUAACGCAUUAAGUUGACCGCCUGGGGAGUACGGCGCAAGGUUAAACUCAAUGAAUU